GCCGCUCACAGACGCCAGCACAGUGGCAGCGGCCUUGCUCUAAUGAGAGCUGACAGACGUGACAGAAAGAAAAUGUCACAGCAGAAGUGAGAAAAUAAACAGCUGCACAUGAGAAACCCAAGCUGUGAGCGCCUGCUUUCUGACUCAGAAAGCAACACUCAAUAUGGGAAGAGAGAAACAUCAUCCAAACAUCUCCUUCUGAGUUGCACAGAAAGUGUAAAGCUGUACGAGUUAGAAAUGACAUGAUGGGCUGUCAGAUCAGACUCAGAGUGGUUGGACUGCAGAGACGAGCUGAAAUCCCAGAUCUGGAUGAGCUCCAUCAGGGAUCCAGUAAAGGCUUUGAGUAAUGAACGCAGUGCUUCCUACACCAGACUUUUAUUAGGCUGCGCUCAUGGGCACCAAAUCUCACCAUGAGCUUCAUCCGUUUCUAAUUCAGCAGACUCAGUGGCUCCCGUUGGCCUCGAACGUCACCGACUCGCACAGCCUGCCAGAUAAUAACCGCGCUUUAUGCACAGGUCAGUUUUCAUUCUGAUUACAAAUGAGUUGUUGUUUUAAGACAUCCUAUGCACUUCUGUCCGACUGCAGAAAUAAUGAAGAACGUCGGCUCCGGUUGCGUCUGGCCUCUUGAAUCAGGAGCGUCACGAUGCCAUGAAGUCAUCGCAAUCAUCUGGCCGUCUAGAUCCAGCGUUAGUGCUCUUUCUCAAAGCGAAGUGAGCAAUGUAAUUUCUUGAACAUUCCCGUUUGAUGUUGUUGAGGUCAUGUUUAUGACUAGUGUCUUUAAAUGUAUGAAACACAAAGCAGAUUCUUGCAUCAGCCUCAUAAAUCAUCGGGAAAUGUAUUGACUAAUACGGAGUCCCGAAGGGGGUAGAAAACCGCUUGGGAAAGCUGCAAAGGGCUCGUAAAUAGUGUAACUUCUUGAAAAGGGGCGGCUUUUCCCUUUCUCGUUCUGCAAAAUCACUUUCCCCCAACGUUUGUGCGGGUUUCCCGUAAGGAACGCAGCGACUGCAGAUGACUGGAACUUCACACCUCAGUGGCUAAAUCAUCUGUCUUGUGCAACUGGCAGAAGAAGAGGCUUCCUGAGCAGGUGUCUGGAUUUUCACAGGUCCGGUGUGUCGCGUCCCAACAGAGUUCACGAUCCACAGGUUUCAUCGCAUGCUGGCAGGCGCUCCGGGUCUCGCUGUCACGUAUCAACCCCGAACAAACACGAGCAGAACUCUUGUAAGGUCAUGUUGUCUGUUCCUAAGAAUAACCGACUGAAUUGAGCAUUGUGCAGAGAAGAAUCUGGACAAGGUUUUGACGGCUCAGUCCAAUCUCCGUGAUUCCUGAUCCAAAGCAGCGGCUGGCAGAUAGGCCCGAAAUCAGUAACUGAGAAACUGAGGAAACAGCCUUCCUGCAGCUCAAACUUUAGAGCAGGCCGCUAGGAACGCAGAGGUCAUGGGUUCGAUUCCCAUAGAAAGCAAGAACUGAUCAAAUGUAGUGUACAUGUUAAAUGCAAUGCAAG